rnacentral:rRNA from 1 species
AUCUGCCCGAUAGAGGGGGAUAACCACUGGAAACGGUGGCUAAUACCGCAUAACGUCGCAAGACCAAAGAGGGGGACCUUCGGGCCUCUCACUAUCGGAUGAACCCAGAUGGGAUUAGCUAGUAGGCGGGGUAAUGGCCCACCUAGGCGACGAUCCCUAGCUGGUCUGAGAGGAUGACCAGCCACACUGGAACUGAGACACGGUCCAGACUCCUACGGGAGGCAGCAGUGGGGAAUAUUGCACAAUGGGCGCAAGCCUGAUGCAGCCAUGCCGCGUGUAUGAAGAAGGCCUUCGGGUUGUAAAGUACUUUCAGCGGGGAGGAAGGCGAUGCGGUUAAUAACCGCGUCGAUUGACGUUACCCGCAGAAGAAGCACCGGCUAACUCCGUGCCAGCAGCCGCGGUAAUACGGAGGGUGCAAGCGUUAAUCGGAAUUACUGGGCGUAAAGCGCACGCAGGCGGUCUGUUAAGUCAGAUGUGAAAUCC